UACAGAGGUCCCAAGCGUUGUUCGGAUUCACUGGGCGUAAAGGGUGCGUAGGCGGUCGGGUAAGUCUGACGUGAAAUCUUCAAGCUCAACUUGGAAACUGCGUCGGAUACUAUUCGGCUGGAGGAAUGGAGGGGAGACUGGAAUACUUGGUGUAGCAGUGAAAUGCGUAGAUAUCAAGUGGAACACCAGUGGCGAAGGCGAGUCUCUGGACAUUUCCUGACGCUGAGACACGAAAGCCAGGGGAGCAAACGGG
rnacentral:rRNA from 1 species